GGUUAAGCGACUAAGCGUACACGGUGGAUGCCCUGGCAGUCAGAGGCGAUGAAGGACGUGCUAAUCUGCGAUAAGCGUCGGUAAGGUGAUAUGAACCGUUAUAACCGGCGAUUUCCGAAUGGGGAAACCCAGUGUGUUUCGACACACUAUCAUUAACUGAAUCCAUAGGUUAAUGAGGCGAACCGGGGGAACUGAAACAUCUAAGUACCCCGAGGAAAAGAAAUCAACCGAGAUUCCCCCAGUAGCGGCGAGCGAACGGGGAGCAGCCCAGAGCCUGAAUCAGUGUGUGUGUUAGUGGAAGCGUCUGGAAAGGCGCGCGAUACAGGGUGACAGCCCCGUACACAAAAAUGCACAUACUGUGAGCUCGAUGAGUAGGGCGGGACACGUGGUAUCCUGUCUGAAUAUGGGGGGACCAUCCUCCAAGGCUAAAUACUCCUGACUGACCGAUAGUGAACCAGUACCGUGAGGGAAAGGCGAAAAGAACCCCGGCGAGGGGAGUGAAAAAGAACCUGAAACCGUGUACGUACAAGCAGUGGGAGCCUCUUUAUGGGGUGACUGCGUACCUUUUGUAUAAUGGGUCAGCGACUUAUAUUCUGUAGCAAGGUUAACCGAAUAGGGGAGCCGAAGGGAAACCGAGUCUUAACUGGGCGUUAAGUUGCAGGGUAUAGACCCGAAACCCGGUGAUCUAGCCAUGGGCAGGUUGAAGGUUGGGUAACACUAACUGGAGGACCGAACCGACUAAUGUUGAAAAAUUAGCGGAUGACUUGUGGCUGGGGGUGAAAGGCCAAUCAAACCGGGAGAUAGCUGGUUCUCCCCGAAAGCUAUUUAGGUAGCGCCUCGUGAAUUCAUCUCCGGGGGUAGAGCACUGUUUCGGCAAGGGGGUCAUCCCGACUUACCAACCCGAUGCAAACUGCGAAUACCGGAGAAUGUUAUCACGGGAGACACACGGCGGGUGCUAACGUCCGUCGUGAAGAGGGAAACAACCCAGACCGCCAGCUAAGGUCCCAAAGUCAUGGUUAAGUGGGAAACGAUGUGGGAAGGCCCAGACAGCCAGGAUGUUGGCUUAGAAGCAGCCAUCAUUUAAAGAAAGCGUAAUAGCUCACUGGUCGAGUCGGCCUGCGCGGAAGAUGUAACGGGGCUAAACCAUGCACCGAAGCUGCGGCAGCGACACUAUGUGUUGUUGGGUAGGGGAGCGUUCUGUAAGCCUGCGAAGGUGUACUGUGAGGUAUGCUGGAGGUAUCAGAAGUGCGAAUGCUGACAUAAGUAACGAUAAAGCGGGUGAAAAGCCCGCUCGCCGGAAGACCAAGGGUUCCUGUCCAACGUUAAUCGGGGCAGGGUGAGUCGACCCCUAAGGCGAGGCCGAAAGGCGUAGUCGAUGGGAAACAGGUUAAUAUUCCUGUACUUGGUGUUACUGCGAAGGGGGGACGGAGAAGGCUAUGUUGGCCGGGCGACGGUUGUCCCGGUUUAAGCGUGUAGGCUGGUUUUCCAGGCAAAUCCGGAAAAUCAAGGCUGAGGCGUGAUGACGAGGCACUACGGUGCUGAAGCAACAAAUGCCCUGCUUCCAGGAAAAGCCUCUAAGCAUCAGGUAACAUCAAAUCGUACCCCAAACCGACACAGGUGGUCAGGUAGAGAAUACCAAGGCGCUUGAGAGAACUCGGGUGAAGGAACUAGGCAAAAUGGUGCCGUAACUUCGGGAGAAGGCACGCUGAUAUGUAGGUGAAGCGACUUGCUCGUGGAGCUGAAAUCAGUCGAAGAUACCAGCUGGCUGCAACUGUUUAUUAAAAACACAGCACUGUGCAAACACGAAAGUGGACGUAUACGGUGUGACGCCUGCCCGGUGCCGGAAGGUUAAUUGAUGGGGUUAGCGGUAACGCGAAGCUCUUGAUCGAAGCCCCGGUAAACGGCGGCCGUAACUAUAACGGUCCUAAGGUAGCGAAAUUCCUUGUCGGGUAAGUUCCGACCUGCACGAAUGGCGUAAUGAUGGCCAGGCUGUCUCCACCCGAGACUCAGUGAAAUUGAACUCGCUGUGAAGAUGCAGUGUACCCGCGGCAAGACGGAAAGACCCCGUGAACCUUUACUAUAGCUUGACACUGAACAUUGAGCCUUGAUGUGUAGGAUAGGUGGGAGGCUUUGAAGUGUGGACGCCAGUCUGCAUGGAGCCGGCCUUGAAAUACCACCCUUUAAUGUUUGAUGUUCUAACGUUGGCCCCUGAUCGGGGUUGCGGACAGUGUCUGGUGGGUAGUUUGACUGGGGCGGUCUCCUCCUAAAGAGUAACGGAGGAGCACGAAGGUUGGCUAAUCCUGGUCGGACAUCAGGAGGUUAGUGCAAUGGCAUAAGCCAGCUUGACUGCGAGCGUGACGGCGCGAGCAGGUGCGAAAGCAGGUCAUAGUGAUCCGGUGGUUCUGAAUGGAAGGGCCAUCGCUCAACGGAUAAAAGGUACUCCGGGGAUAACAGGCUGAUACCGCCCAAGAGUUCAUAUCGACGGCGGUGUUUGGCACCUCGAUGUCGGCUCAUCACAUCCUGGGGCUGAAGUAGGUCCCAAGGGUAUGGCUGUUCGCCAUUUAAAGUGGUACGCGAGCUGGGUUUAGAACGUCGUGAGACAGUUCGGUCCCUAUCUGCCGUGGGCGCUGGAGAACUGAGGGGGGCUGCUCCUAGUACGAGAGGACCGGAGUGGACGCAUCACUGGUGUUCGGGUUGUCAUGCCAAUGGCACUGCCCGGUAGCUAAAUGCGGAAGAGAUAAGUGCUGAAAGCAUCUAAGCACGAAACUUGCCCCGAGAUGAGUUCUCCCUGACUCCUUGAGAGUCCUGAAGGAACGUUGAAGACGACGACGUUGAUAGGCCGGGUGUGUAAGCGCAGCGAUGCGUUGAGCUAACCGGUACUAAUGAACCGUGAGGCUUAACCUU
rnacentral:rRNA from 1 species